GGGACACGUGGUAUCCUGUCUGAAUAUGGGGGGACCAUCCUCCAAGGCUAAAUACUCCUGACUGACCGAUAGUGAACCAGUACCGUGAGGGAAAGGCGAAAAGAACCCCGGCGAGGGGAGUGAAAAAGAACCUGAAACCGUGUACGUACAAGCAGUGGGAGCACAGGUUUACCUGUGUGACUGCGUACCUUUUGUAUAAUGGGUCAGCGACUUAUAUUCUGUAGCAAGGUUAACCGUAUAGGGGAGCCGGAGGGAAACCGAGUCUUAAUUGGGCGUUAAGUUGCAGGGUAUAGACCCGAAACCCGGUGAUCUAGCCAUGGGCAGGUUGAAGGUUGGGUAACACUAACUGGAGGACCGAACCGACUAAUGUUGAAAAAUUAGCGGAUGACCUGUGGCUGGGGGUGAAAGGCCAAUCAAACCGGGAGAUAGCUGGUUCUCCCCGAAAGCUAUUUAGGUAGCGCCUCGUGAAUUCAUCUCCGGGGGUAGAGCACUGUUUCGGCUAGGGGGCCAUCCCGGCUUACCAACCCGAUGCAAACUGCGAAUACCGGAGAAUGUUAUCACGGGAGACACACGGCGGGUGCUAACGUCCGUCGUGAAGAGGGAAACAACCCAGACCGCCAGCUAAGGUCCCAAAGUCAUGGUUAAGUGGGAAACGAUGUGGGAAGGCCCAGACAGCCAGGAUGUUGGCUUAGAAGCAGCCAUCAUUUAAAGAAAGCGUAAUAGCUCACUGGUCGAGUCGGCCUGCGCGGAAGAUGUAACGGGGCUAAACCAUGCACCGAAGCUGCGGCAGCGACGCUUAUGCGUUGUUGGGUAGGGGAGCGUUCUGUAAGCCUGUGAAGGUGGCCUGUGAGGGUUGCUGGAGGUAUCAGAAGUGCGAAUGCUGACAUAAGUAACGAUAAAGCGGGUGAAAAGCCCGCUCGCCGGAAGACCAAGGGUUCCUGUCCAACGUUAAUCGGGGCAGGGUGAGUCGACCCCUAAGGCGAGGCCGAAAGGCGUAGUCGAUGGGAAACGGGUUAAUAUUCCCGUACUUGGUGUUACUGCGAAGGGGGGACGGAGAAGGCUAUGUUGGCCGGGCGACGGUUGUCCCGGUUUAAGCGUGUAGGUGUGUGUUCCAGGUAAAUCCGGUU
rnacentral:rRNA from 1 species